rnacentral:lncRNA from 1 species
CUCUUUCUUUCUUUUAUUUUUUGUUUUGGUUUUUUGUUGUUGCUGCCCUUGUUUUGUGUUUAUUUGUUUGUUUGAGAUAAUGUCUCACUUUAUAGUUCAGGCUGGACUUGAACUCAGUGUGUAACCAAUUGAAUUCAAACUCACAGCAUUCCUAUUGCCUCAGCCUCCUGAGAUCUGGGAUUACAAGUGUGUGCCACCAUGCCUGGCUUAAUUGAACUUUCAAAAGCCAAAGAAAAAGAAAGUGUAAGGUCCGACUCGACGCACCUUCCCCCAAUGACCAGCCGAGACCGUACGGAUGCAAGAUGCAGAGGUUUUAUUGCGUGGGCCACGGGCGUCUCUAAUGUCCGAAGACAAGAGAAGCGCCCCGCCAAGGAUGAUCUUGCUUAUAUAUAGUUUGGAGAGCGGGAAAGCGGGUUGUACAGAAGCAGAAUUGCGGAUUGGUUAAUUCAUGUGAGGCCAUAAGCUGGGAGGGGUAUUUUGCGCGGAUUGCCACAUCUUAUUGUUGGACUAUUUCCUUGUUCUUUAGAUUCCGAGAAUUGGGUGUGCUAACGGGAAGUGGGCGGGUUAUUCUCGGAACUUGUCGGGGCAAGUCAGGCGGUGGGGCAAGUGAUGGGGCAAGUCAGGACAUGUUGGGACAGGCAAUAGGGCGGGUUAUUCUCGGAACUUGUCGGGGCAAGUCAGGCGGUGGGGCAAGUCAGGACAUGUUGGGACAGGCAAUAGGGCGGGUCUCUUCAUACCCUCAUAAUCAGAAUACAGCACAGUUGCAUCAUCCCAUGUCAUUUCUUCAUACUCACACACUCUUCCCAGUGGUGGGGCAUUUGCCUAGCAUAUUUGUGGCCCCAGGUUCAAU